rnacentral:rRNA from 1 species
UAGGGAAUAUUGGACAAUGGGGGCAACCCUGAUCCAGCCAUGCCGCGUGAGUGAAGAAGGCCCUCGGGUUGUAAAGCUCUUUUGUCCGGAAAGAAAAGCUUCGGGUUAAUACCCCGGGGUUCUGACGGUACCGGAAGAAUAAGCACCGGCUAACUUCGUGCCAGCAGCCGCGGUAAUACGAAGGGUGCAAGCGUUACUCGGAAUUACUGGGCGUAAAGCGUGCGUAGGUGGUUGUUUAAGUCUGAUGUGAAAGCCCUGGGCUCAACCUGGGGAUGGCAUUGGAAACUGGGCAGCUGGAGUGCGGUAGGGGGUAGUGGAAUUCCCGGUGUAGCAGUGAAAUGCGUAGAGAUCGGGAGGAACAUCUGUGGCGAAGGCGACUGCCUGGACCAGCACUGACACUGAGGCACGAAAGCGUG